ensembl:lincRNA
AUGCAGAUUCAGAAGUUGUUCUGGCUGCUGUUGUCAUCUUUUCUGGCUGGCCGAGAUCUGAUGCAGCAGCCUCCAGAAAUCAUACAGACACCAUUACAACUCUUCCCAAAUUGCAUUAAAAAUAGUCAUCAUUCAGAGUUCUUGCCUGAUCUUACGACCUUUCGGGGAUCUGCUUUAAAGGAGGAAACCUUCGUAGAUGAAACUGAAGCCCCUCUAGGCUGUUUUCCAAUUUCAUUUCACCAUUCAUUUGUUGGUGGUGACCACUAUCUAGAACUUAUUAUCAUUCUUAUGAAUAUUUAUAUUUUACUACAAAUAUUCAGUACAGUAGUCCCCCUUCAGUUUCAAUUAUCCAAAGUUAACCAUGGUCCAGAAGCAGGUGAUCUUCCUUCUGAUGUAUAAUGUAUAAUCAGGUCUUAUAAUCAGAAGGUCAACAGUAGCCUAGCUCUGUAUCAUGAUGGCUACAUCAGUCACUGCACUUCAUCUCAUCAUGUAAGCAUUUCAUCACCCUCAUAUCACCACAAGAAGGGUGAGUAUAGUCAGAUAUUUAGAGAGAACAUAUUCACCUAAUUUUAUUAUAGUAUAUUGUUAUAAUUGUUCUAUUUUACUAUUUGUUGUUAAUCUCUCACUGUACGUAAUUGAUACACUAUACUUUAUCAUAGGUACAUAUGCACUAUGUAUAAGAAAAAAAAUCCAUGGUUUCUAUCCAUGGUACUAUCCAUGGUCUCAGGCAUCCACUUGGGUCCCUGUUGGAAUGGGGGGAGGGGUGGUAAUGUAUGUCACUAAACAAUAUGAAGCAGUUUUGUUUACUUUAUAAACAUGGAGUUAUGAUACAUGUAUUAGUCUACCUUUCCCCUCCCCCUUUUACUUAUGGGGCUUUAGAAAGUGUAUCUUUUGAUUCAUUCUAGUUUAUCUGUUUUAACUGUUAUUAGUGUUAUGGGUUGAAUUAUGUAUCAAUCUCAGUACCUCACAAUGUGAACUUAUUUGGGGACAGGGUCUUUACAGAGGCUUCAUUGUUCAAUUAACUUCAUUGUUAAAUCAGUCAUGCGGGUGGGCUCUAAUCUAAUACCAUAGCUGUGCUAAUAAAAUGGGAAAAUGCAGACAUGAAGGCACAUAAGGAAGGAAGAAGAUGUAAAAAGACAUAAGGAGAAGGCCAUCUGCAGGUCAAGGAAAGCAACCUGGAAGAUCCUUCCCUCACACCCUUCAGAAGGAAUUAACAUUGUGAAUACCUUGAUCUUGGACUUCUAGCCUCCAGAACUGUGAGAAAAUAAGUUCCUGUUGCUUAAGACACCUACUCUGUGGUACUUUGUUAUAGCAGCCCUAGAAAAUUAAUACACAUAGUAUCCCACUGUCUGAACAUACCACUUUUUAUUUAUACAUUCUUUUACUGAAAGAUAACUAUGGUUUUUCCAGCUCUCUACUGUAACACAGAAUGUUGCAAAAAACAUUUGGCAUACAGCUCUUGUUAUGCAACACUUUUUCUCAGACACAUACACAAACACAUAUACACAAACCUUGCAGGGGAAUUCUGGUAUGUUGAUCUUCAACCUUCUAAUUAUUGCUAAAUUGCCCUUCAAAGUAUACUCCAUCAGCUGUGUAUGAGAAUUUCUUUACCCUCUCCAAAAUCCGAUAAUGACAGACUUUUGCC